GAUGAACGCUGGCGGCGUGCCUAAUACAUGCAAGUCGAGCGAAUGGAUUGAGAGCUUGCUCUUAUGAAGUUAGCGGCGGACGGGUGAGUAACACGUGGAUAACCUGCCCAUAAGACUGGGAUAACUCCGGGAAACCGGGGCUAAUACCGGAUAACAUUUUGAACCGCAUGGUUCGAAAUUGAAAGGCGGCUUCGGCUGUCACUUAUGGAUGGACCCGCGUCGCAUUAGCUAGUUGGUGAGGUAACGGCUCACCAAGGCAACGAGGCGUAGCCGAGCUGGGGGGGUGAUCGGCCACACGGGGACUGAGAGACGGCCCAGACUCCUACGGGAGGCAGCAGUAGGGAAUCUUCCGCAAUGGACGAAAGUCUGACGGAGCAACGCCGAGUGAGUGAGGAAGGCUUUCGGGUCGUAAAACUCUGUUGUUAGGGAAGAACAAGUGCUAGUUGAAUAAGCUGGCACCUUGACGGUACCUAACCAGAAAGCCACGGCUAACUACGUGCCAGCAGCCGCAGUAA
rnacentral:rRNA from 1 species